GCAUAUCAAUAAGCGGAGGAAAAGAAACUAACAAGGAUUCCCCUAGUAACUGCGAGUGAAGCGGGAAAAGCUCAAAUUUAAAAUCUGGCGGUCUUUGGCCGUCCGAGUUGUAAUUUAGAGAAGCGUCUUCCGCGCCAGACCGUGCACAAGUCUCCUGGAAUGGAGCGUCAUAGAGGGUGAGAAUCCCGUCUUUGGCACGGAUGCCUGGUGCUUCUGUGAUGCGCUCUCGAAGAGUCGAGUUGUUUGGGAAUGCAGCUCAAAAUGGGUGGUGAACUCCAUCUAAAGCUAAAUAUUGGCGAGAGACCGAUAGCGAACAAGUACCGUGAGGGAAAGAUGAAAAGCACUUUGGAAAGAGAGUGAAACAGUACGUGAAAUUGUUGAAAGGGAAACGCUUGAAGUCAGUCGCGUCGACCGAGACUCAGCCUUGCCUUGGCUUGGUGUACUUCUCGGCCCGACGGGUCAGCGUCAAUUUUGCCCCUCGGAUAAUGGCAAGGGAAAGGUGGCACCUUCACCGGUGUGUUAUAGUCUCCUGUCGCAUGCGAGGGGUGGGAUUGAGGAACUCAGCGCGCACCUUGGUGUCGGGGCUUCUGCCCACGUCACGCGCUUAGGAUGCUGGCGUAAUGGCUUUAAACGACCCGUCUUGAAAC
rnacentral:rRNA from 1 species